rnacentral:rRNA from 1 species
UACGGGGGGGGCAAGCGUUGUUCGGAAUUACUGGGCGUAAAGGGCUCGUAGGCGGCCAACUAAGUCGGACGUGAAAUCCCCAGGCUCAACCUGGGAAUUGCGUCUGAUACUGGAUGGCUUGAAUCCGGGAGAGGGAUGCAGAAUUCCAGGUGUAGCGGUGAAAUGCGUAGAUAUCUGGAGGAAUACCGGUGGCGAAGGCGGCAUCCUGGACCGGCAUUGACGCUGAGGAGCGAAAGCCAGGGGAGCAAACGGGG